rnacentral:rRNA from 1 species
UACCAGCACCCCGAGUGGUCGGGACGAUUAUUGGGCCUAAAGCAUCCGUAGCCGGUUCUACAAGUCUUCCGUUAAAUCCACCUGCUUAACAGAUGGGCUGCGGAGGAUACUAUAGAGCUAGGAGGCGGGAGAGGCAAGCGGUACUUAGUGGGUAGGGGUAAAAGCCGUUGAUCCAUUGAAGACCACCAGUGGCGAAGGCGGCUUGCCAGAACGCACUCGACGGUGAGGGAUGAAAGCUGGGGGAGCAAACCGG